rnacentral:lncRNA from 1 species
CUUUGCACUUUUUAUCCCACUGACCUGUCAGAGGCAGGUGCGAAGUCUGCUGUUGAAAAGACGAAGAGAUCUACUUUAGCUACCAUUCGGAGGGAAGGUGUUCCUGCAUUGUGGAAAGACCAUCCAGAAGAUUUCUGUGUGAAGUGAAGGACAGUGUCAUGGGAGUGUGUGUGGUGUGUUGAAGUUGUUUCACACAUACACAUAUUAAAACCACCAGACAAAUUAGGGGGCUGAAUUUGGGUCCAGUUUGUAGCUCCAACACCUUAGGACAACCCUGUGGUUGUACUUUAAAAUGAAUACAUGAAUUGAUGGAGUAAAUAAUCCAACUAAAAAUGGUAAGUUGCUGUUGUGGUACAAUAUAUAUAUUCUGAAGUUAACCAGUUGGUCUGCUCACUCCAGAAUGUGUCCACAUAGCAUCUCCCUCACUAACACAACUGACAGUUUCCACAUCCCAGGAUGUCUUGUUUAGAUCCCUCUUUUGUUACCCUGUUUUAAAUUCCUGUUGCUAUUCCCGUAGGUUCUUCGCCCUUACCUGGCUUCAUCCUUCCUUCAUUUAGACCAUGAUCAGCCUGAGCAACAAAGGUUUUCAUCCUGAGAUGCUUGGAGUUCUGGUUGAAUUGCCUACUCCCAACAAACAUUCCAUUGAAGAGGUUGAAACUGGGAAGCCAAGUCCUAUAUACAAUGCCUUUACCUAGAUGCCAACAUCUCAUGUUACGCCACAGCUGCUGUGGAACAGUCCUACCACAAAAGUACACAAAGUGCAAUGAGCAUUGCCUCUGUCUUGGCUCAAGAUCAUUGCCCGGGGUUGGGCCAAUUUGAAAUCCCCUUCCCUUCUCAAACAACUAUCUAAAUCGAAGAGUUGACACCAAAGUUUCCUUGAGCUUUGUUGGGGAAAAAAGAAAACUCAAAGGCAAUUUUCAUUGGAUGAACACUCUUGAUCUGCCACAUCUGGGGCUAAAAGAAAACCGAGCAGACACUCUGGGAAUCCUGAGGGGGGUCGUGGCAAGCCGGAGCCGGCAACACAGGAUGCAGGGCCAAGGGGACACACCUAGGAGGGACACCACUCCAUCGCAAGGCAUCACAAGCAGGGCUUGAGCCCCAGACUCGCUGCGCCACCACACCCACCUGCUGCUACACCUCACACAGUCCACAACCGCUUGUCUCGAGCUGGGUUGCGGAGACCCGGCAACACAGAGCGUAAGGCUGAAGGGGGAGGGGACACACCCAGGAUGGGACGCCAGUCUGCCGCAAGGCAACCCAACCAGGAUUUGAACGCUGGACCCACCACAGAGCAGGACCUGGCAAAACCCACUGCGCCACUAGGCUCCCUUGGUGCCACACCUUUAUUUGUUUAAUCAACCAAGGUCACUGAUGGAAAGUGUGUGAACCUCUAGGAUCACAACAUUUUGAAAAGAUCUCCAGCAGCACCACUGUGGAAGGAUCCAAAG